GACGAACGCUGGCGGCGUGCUUAACACAUGCAAGUCGAACGGAAAGGCCUGCUUUCCCUUGUGGAUUGCGGGUACUCGAGUGGCUAACGGGUGAGUAACACGUGAGUGAUCUGCCCCCAACUUGGGUAUAAGCCUGGGAAACUGGGUCUAAUUCCCGAUAGGACUGCAGGGUGGUGCCUGUGGUGGAAAACGAUUUUCUAGUGGUUGGGGAUGAGCUCGCGGCCUAUCAGCUUGUUGGUGGGGUAAUGGCCUACCAAGGCGGCGACGGGUAGCCGGCCUGAGAGGGUGGACGGCGAGAGUGGGACUGAGAUACGGCAAAGACGCCUACGGGAGGCAGCAGUGGGGAAGAUAGCACAAUGGGCGGAAGACUGAGGCAGCGACGCCGAGUGGGGGAUGACGGCCUUCGGGUUGUAAACUCCUUUCGACCGAGAGGAAGCCACCUGGUUGGAAGGGUGGUGACGGUAGUGGUAGAAGAAGCACCGGCUAACUACGUG
rnacentral:rRNA from 1 species